rnacentral:rRNA from 1 species
CAGCAGCCACGGUAAUACGUAGGGUGCGAGCGUUAAUCGGAAUUACUGGGCGUAAAGCGUGCGCAGGCGGUUAUAUAAGACAGAUGUGAAAUCCCCGGGCUCAACCUGGGACCUGCAUUUGUGACUGUAUAGCUAGAGUACGGUAGAGGGGGAUGGAAUUCCGCGUGUAGCAGUGAAAUGCGUAGAUAUGCGGAGGAACACCGAUGGCGAAGGCAAUCCCCUGGACCUGUACUGACGCUCAUGCACGAAAGCGUGGGGAGCAGACAGGAUUAGAUACCCCCGUAGUCCCUGUCUCUUAUAA